CUUUCGAUGAUAUCACAAUGGGUGCUCAGAUCCAAAGAAAAACAUGACAGUCACCUGACAGCGUGGUACCCAGCCAACAGCUAUACAUAUUUUGAAGAUUUUAAGAACUUAACCUCCUGAACAGCUUUCUUCAAAAGUGAAAAAGGGCAGAGGCAACAGCUGAUGAAUAUAAAGAAAUUCCUUUACAACAAAAGGGCAGAUUUAACUAUAUUUGGAACCCAUGACAACACGUAAUGGGGAGAGACUUCUAAGCAAGGAGAAACGGAGCAGGUCAUGAAAACAUGGAGAACAAAUGGUUUUUGUCAAUGAUUCGGGAUGAAUUUAAAGGUGGAAAAAUUAACCUAGAAAAAACUCACAGAUUACUUGAAAAAUUAGAUAUUCCGUGCAAUUAUACUCAUGUCAAAUCUAUUUUCAAGGAUAAUGACAGGCUGAAACAAGGACGAAUCACCAUAGAAGAAUUUAGAUCAAUUUAUCGAAUUAUUGCACACAGAGAAGAAAUUGUUGAGAUUUUCAACACAUAUUCUGGAAACCAGAAAUUUCUUUUUGAAAAAAACCUCCUCGAAUUUUUGAAACAAGAACAGUAUGCACUUGACAUGAGAAAAAAUAUUGCUUUUGAGAUCAUUCAAAAAUAUGAGCCUAUUGAAGAAGUUAAGAAAGCACACCAGAUGUCAUUUGAAGGUUUUACAAGAUAUAUGGGUUCACCUGAAUGUCUAGUAUUUAAAACUGAUUGCACAGAAGUUUAUCAAGAUAUGAAUCAUCCAUUAAAUGAUUAUUUUAUUUCAAGUUCACAUAAUACAUACUUGAUAUCUGACCAGUUACUGGGACCAAGUGACAUUUGGGGAUAUGUAAGUGCCCUUGUGAAAGGAUGCCGUUGUCUGGAAAUUGACUGCUGGGAUGGAUCACAAAAUGAACCUGUCGUAUACCAUGGUUAUACACUCACCAGCAAGCUUCUGUUUAAAACUGUUAUCCAAGCAAUACACAAAUAUGCAUUCAUAGCAUCUGACUAUCCAGUGGUGCUCUCUUUAGAAAAUCACUGCUCUCCUUCCCAACAAGAAGUGAUGGCAGACAUUUUGCAGUCUGUUUUUGGAGAUACCUUGCUUUCUGAUAUGCUUGAUGAUUUUCCAGACAAACUACCUUCACCAGAGGCAUUAAAAUUCAAAGUAUUAGUUAGAAACAAGAAAAUAGGAUCCUUAAGGGAAACCCGUGAAAGAAAAGGUUCUGAUAAGCAUGGUCAGGUAGAGGAAUAUGAAGAGAUAGAUCAAGAGGUGGACGAAGAAAUCAAAGAAUCAAAAGCAUUGGCUGUUUUAGAAGACGAUUCAGAAAAGGAAUCAGAGACAAUAAGUGCAGCUGGAUUACCACUCUUCAAGAGAAGGAGGGUAAAAGUGGCUAUGGCCCUAUCUGAUCUUGUCAUUUAUACCAAAGCUGAGAAGUUCAGAAGCUUUCAGCAUUCAAGGCUAUAUCAGCAAUUUAAUGAAACUAAUUCCAUUGGGGAGACAGAGGCUCGAAAACUUUCAAAGUUGAAAGCCCACGAGUUUAUUCUUCACACCAUGAAGUUCAUUACCAGAAUUUAUCCCAAAGCAACAAGAGCAGACUCCUCUAAUUUCAAUCCUCAAGAAUUUUGGAAUAUAGGUUGUCAAAUGGUGGCCUUAAAUUUCCAGACCCCCGGUCUACCCAUGGAUCUUCAAAAUGGGAAAUUUUUGGAUAAUGGUAGUUCUGGAUAUAUUUUGAAACCACAGUUCCUAAGAGAUAGUAAAACACCGUUUAGUCCAAAUAAAACACCAAGAUACAGUAAUCCAGUGACACUUACAAUAAGGCUCAUCAGUGGUAUUCAGUUACCUCCCAGUAACCAUUCAUCAUCUAACAAAGCUGACACAUUAGUGAUUCUAGAAACUUUUGGUGUUCCAAAUGAUCAAAUGAAGCAGCAGACUCGUGUAAUUAAAAAAAAUGCUUUUAGUCCAAAAUGGAAUGAAACAUUCACAUUUAUUAUUCAUGUGCCAGAAUUGGCGCUGAUGCGUUUUGUUGUUGAAAAUCAAGGUUUAAUAGCCGGAAAUGAAUUUCUUGGUCAAUAUACAUUACCAGUUCUGUGCAUGAACAAAGUCAUGACUACCACAGAAGAAUAAAGCAUGGGAAUCAAAGAGAAGGGAGAAGCAGUGACUCAUUCUUCCGGCCCAAGAAGAGCCUGGGAGCCCAAGACAAUCCUUUCUUGACUCUUUUCAGGGCUGCCUUUUUGUUGCAGUCACCUGGCUGAGGUUACCGUCGUGUUCCUCUGUUUUCUAAAAUGGGCGAGAGUCUUGAGCCUGCUGCACUGUUUAUUUAUGUGUGGUACAUCAGAUAGCAACUAACAGUCCCUGACACAUCGUUAGCUAUACAUCGUAAUAAAACAGCCAAAAU